ensembl:lncRNA
GAGGAAACAGUAGGGUAGAGAGAAAUGGAGAGGGAGAAGGGAGGGAGAGAGAGAGAGAGAGAGGGAGAAAGGGAGGAAACGAGACAGAGACUAGAGAGGGAGAAAGGGAGGGAGAGAGAGAGACUAGAGAGGGAGAAAGGGAGGAAACAGUAGGGUAGAGAGAAAUGGAGAGGGAGAAAGGGAGGAAGAGAGAGAGAGAGAGAGAGGGAGAAAGGGAGGCUACAGUAGGGUAGAGAGAAAUGGAGAGGGAGAAGGGAGGAAGAGAGAGAGACUAGAGAGGGAGAAAGGGAGGAAACAGUAGGGUAGAGAGAAAUGGAGAGGGAGAAGGGAGGGAGAGAGAGAGACUAGAGAGGGAGAAAGGGAGGGAGAGAGAGACUAGAGAAGGAGAAAGGGAGGAAACGGUAGGGUAGAGAGAAAUGGAGAGGGAGAAGGGAGGGAGAGAGAGAGACUAGAGAGGGAGAAAGGGAGGGAGAGAGAGAGGGAGAAAGGGAGGAAACAGUAGGAUAGAGAGAAAUGGAGAGGGAGAAAGGGAGGAAGAGAGGGAGAAAGGGAGGCUACAGUAGGGUAGAGAGAAAUGGAGAGGGAGAAGGGAGGGAGAGAGAGAGACUAGAGCGGGAGAAACAGAGGAAACAGUAGGGUAGAGAGAAAUGGAGAGGGAGAAGGGAGGGAGAGAGAGACUAGAGAGGGAGAAAGGGAGGAAACAGUAGGGUAGAGAGAAAUGGAGAGGGAGAAGGGAGGAAGAGAGAGAGACUAGAGAGGGAGAAAGGGAGGAAACAUAGGGUAGAGAGAAAUGGAGGGGGAGAAGGGAGGGAGAGAGAGAGA